rnacentral:tRNA from 1 species
UCCCGUGUUGGCUCAAUGGGUAGAGCGCUCCACUGGAGAUGGAAAGGUCCCGGGUUCGAUACCCAGAGCAGGCG